UGGGGAAUCUUGGGCAAUGGCCGAAAGGCUGACCCAGCGACGCCGCGUGCGGGAUGACGCUUUUCGGAGUGUAAACCGCUGUCAGGGGGGACGAAGUCUUCGGAUGCGAACAGUGUCCGGAGCUGACGGUACCUCCAGAGGAAGCACCGGCUAACUCCGUGCCAGCAGCCGCGGUAAUACGGAGGGGCUAGCGUUGUUCGGAAUUACUGGGCGUAAAGGGCGCGUAGGCGGCCCGCCAAGUCCGGCGUGAAAGUCCUGGGCUCAACCCGGGGACGGCGCUGGAGACUGGCGGGCUGGAGUCCGGGAGAGGGUGGCGGAAUUCCCAGUGUAGAGGUGAAAUUCGUAGAUAUUGGGAAGAACACCGGUGGCGAAGGCGGCCACCUGGCCCGGGACUGACGCUGAGGCGCGAAAGCGUGGGGAGCAAACAGGAUUAGAUACCC
rnacentral:rRNA from 1 species